rnacentral:rRNA from 1 species
AUUAAACGCUGGCGGCAUGCCUUACACAUGCAAGUCGAACGGCAGCACGGGGCAACCUUGGUGGCGAGUGGCGAACGGUGAGUAAAAGCAUCGGAACGUGCCCUGGAGUGGGGGAUAGCGUAGCGAAAGUUACGCUAAUACCGCAUAUUCUGUGAGCAGGAAAGCAGGGGAUCGCAAGACCUUGCGCUCUGGGAGCGGCCGAUGUCGGAUUAGCUAGUUGGUGGGGUAAAGGCCUACCAAGGCGACGAUCCGUAGCGGGUCUGAGAGGAUGAUCCGCCACACUGGGACUGAGACACGGCCCAGACUCCUACAGGAGGCAGCAGUGGGGAAUUUUGGACAAAUGGGCGAAAGCCUGAUCCAGCCAUGCCGCGUGAGUGAAGAA